rnacentral:rRNA from 1 species
UACGUAGGGGACAAGCGUUGUCCGGAAUCAUUGGGCGUAAAGAGCGUGUAGGCGGUCCGGUAAGUCGGCUGUGAAAGUCCAGGGCUCAACCCUGGGAUGCCGGUCGAUACUGCCGGACUAGAGUUCGGAAGAGGCGAGUGGAAUUCCCGGUGUAGCGGUGAAAUGCGCAGAUAUCGGGAGGAACACCUAUGGCGAAGGCAGCUCGCUGGGACGUUACUGACGCUGAGACGCGAAAGCGUGGGGAGCAAACAGG